AAUUCAAACUUGCCAAACGACUAGGACUCAAGUAUUUCGCUCGGCAUUCAUGUUUUUCCUUUGAAAAGAUUAAAUUCUUGUUAGGCUGGUUUAGAUGAAGGUAUUAAGUGUCAAGGAAUGAACCUCAUUUCGUUGGCACUUGAAUACCAUCAUCUAAAGCAAGGUUAAUAAAAAAUUUAUUCUUUCAAAGGAAAACAUGAAUGCCGGGGGAAAUGCUUGAGUCCUGUUGUUUGACAAGUUUGAAUU
rnacentral:pre_miRNA from 1 species